rnacentral:rRNA from 1 species
UGGGGGAUAUUGCACAAUGGGCGAAAGCCUGAUGCAGCGACGCCGCGUGGGGGAUGAAGGCUUUCGGGUUGUAAACCUCUUUCGCUAUCGAACAAGGCCCGCUUAGGGUGGGUUGAGGGUAGGUGGAGAAGAAGCGCCGGCUAACUACGUGCCAGCAGCCGCGGUAAUACGUAGGGCGCGAGCGUUGUCCGGAAUUAUUGGGCGUAAAGGGCUUGUAGGCGGCUUGCUGCGCCUGCUGUGAAAACGCGGGGCUUAACUUCGCGCGUGCAGUGGGUACGGGCAGGCUUGAGUGUGGUAGGGGUGACUGGAAUUCCAGGUGUAGCGGUGGAAUGCGCAGAUAUCUGGAGGAACACCGAUGGCGAAGGCAGGUCACUGGGCCAUUACUGACGCUGGGGAGCGAAAGCAUGGGUAGCGAACAGG